GAGAGAAAUCACAGUCGUUUGGUUAAUGUUACUAACACUUUAAACUUAGCUCCACGUCGGCCAUGACAGGUCACCAUGCAGGUAGGUUACGCUAGCUGUGUAUAACGUGUAUCUAGAUGCAGCUAAAGUGAAGAUAGUGGCGGAAGUAUAACUAAAAGAACUGUAAUGAAUCAUUACAUAGGUGUUUGGGUUAGUUUGAAUCAGAGGGUGAUACAGGCUAGCGGAGGCCUGUUAGCUUCUCUACCGGCUACUAGCUAAAAGCCCGCUGACGUUAGCUCUGAAGGCUGCUAACAAGAAUACAAGUUUACGAUAGUUAAACGCCACCGCGGAGACUUAAUCUACUGUUUAGCCGCUGAGCUCUGAGGACCGUGUUGUCUCGGUGGAGGGAGGCUCGAGCUCGGGGCACAUUUCUCUCCGUGUUCCGCCAUGUUUCCACCGCUCACUUGCGUUAGCUCUCUUCACAAUCAAAGCUCAUCCUCGGUGUCAGAGCCGGGGCUGCUCCAUCACACUGACCCGAUGGAAGGCUCACAAUCACGGCUUUAAUCACACUGGAGUAUUUCAGAUAAAUUAGCAGUGAGCAGAUUAAUAAAGUCAGAGAAACGCUGUACCUUCAUUUUGCCAAACCGACCCUUCAACGGUCCGCCACGGAAAAGAGGCCGGAUAUCCGCCCCGAGCUCUCACAUAGGCUGGCUAUGGAUCCAUCAUAUUCAGGAAGAGAAGUCAGGAUGGCGCCGCCCUGUGGAGAGAUGGCCGCACAGCAGCUGGUCCAGUAGCAGCUCUGUCUCUAAACAGCUGAUCUCAGACUCUCCUGUGAACAUCCGGUAUGAGAGCUGCACAAUCCAGAUCUUCUACAGUGUGUUUUACAUUAUUAUCAUUGUAACCUUUCACACAUUGAUGCUGCUGUCAUUGCUACUGUCAAAUGAUGUUACAUUGUUGAAUCUAUCAUUGUGCACCUGAUAUAUGCUUCAAUACAACCGUUAUCUCUCAUUGUCAAAUGUCACAGAGAGUUCAUUGAAAAAAAUGUAUGUGAUGUUGCUGUGCUAUAAAAAUAAGAUGCAAUUAAACAGAGUGAGUGCUUGGAUUAUGCUGAGAAGAAGAAAAAGAAGAAGACGA